ACGGGAGGCAGCAGUGGGGAAUAUUGGACAAUGGGGGAAACCCUGAUCCAGCGACGCCGCGUGAGUGAAGAGGUAUUUCGGUAUGUAAAGCUCUAUCAGCAAGGAAGAAAAUGACGGUACUUGACUAAGAAGCUCCGGCUAAAUACGUGCCAGCAGCCGCGGUAAUACGUAUGGAGCAAGCGUUAUCCGGAUUUACUGGGUGUAAAGGGAGCGUAGACGGCAAAGCAAGUCUGAAGUGAAAUGCCGGGGCUUAACCCCGGAACUGCUUUGGAAACUGUUUAGCUAGAGUGCAGGAGAGGUAAGCGGAAUUCCUAGUGUAGCGGUGAAAUGCGUAGAUAUUAGGAGGAACACCAGUGGCGAAGGCGGCUUACUGGACUGUAACUGACGUUGAGGCUCGAAAGCGUGGGGAGCGAACAGGAUUAGAUACCCUGGUA
rnacentral:rRNA from 1 species